rnacentral:rRNA from 1 species
AUUCAAACAACUAUUCAGAGUUCCUAGAGCUCCUUGUACGGCCUGAUGGAAAACCCGCUGUCGGACCUGAUUCAUUGCCCUUUGUUUUUCAAAAUAAAGGGUUUCGUUUUUAGACUUUUCCAAUUGUUCCAAACUAAUAGAAGUAGCAUUAAUCAAAUUUGCUUUUUCUCGUUCUAUCUCAGAGUAUCCAUUCAUUCGAUACUCAUCCGCUUCUAGUUCGACUUUCUGUAAUCGAAUCCGAGCUUUUUCGAGUUGCUCAAUGGUCCCUCUACGCAAUUCUUCUGAAUUUCGAAUAGUACUCAAGAUCCUCUGUUUUCGAUUAUCUAAUAAAUCUUUUAACACUCCCUUUCCAAAAAAAAUCAAAACACCAACCACUACAGUUAGAUUUAUUAGAUUUGUUGCUAAAAUAUCGGUAUUCAGCCCGAAACUGCCAGCGGAUGGCC